rnacentral:lncRNA from 1 species
UAUGUAUUGAUUAACAGGCAGUGCUUUUUCUCAUUCGGUUUUUAUUAUGCAGGCUGAGCCGGCCAUUGUCUCAAGAUUAGACGUUAGGAAAUUGAUUCUGUUGGAAGAAAGAUUGGUUUUCCUGAAACAAUAUAGACUGAACGAGGUAUAUCCGAAUUCCAUCUUCCGGUUGAAAUUACCGGUGAAAUCGAAGUCUUUACUGAUUAGAACUAAAAAUAGUUUUGUCGGCAGCGAUUACGGAUGCCAGAAGGGAUCUUUUUAGGUGGAAAAAUCACUUAGCCCAAAAAGGCUUAAGGAAUCCAAAUGUUGACAAUCUUGCUCAAGCCCUACCCUCAUUUUCACAGUUUAUUAAUGUCAACCAACGG